rfam:Dipodomys ordii contig_42648, whole genome shotgun sequence.
GGGAAUGUGGCUUAGUGGUAGAGUGCUUGCCUUGCAUGCAUGAAGCCCUGGGUUCAAUUCCUCAGUACCA